CCCCCUCUUUAACUGCUAAUCAAUUAUUUCAGUCCGCCACAUAAUCAUUUUCAAUACCUUUAUUAGCUUUAUUUAUGAUAACUUAGAAUAAGACCCUGGAGCCUUAUUAUCAAGACUUGCAAUUUACAACACUUUGCUUUAAAUUUACUCCUGAAAACGUGAACAUUAGUUCUAGCAUGAACUAAUUAUACAGUAACCAUCAAAGCUUAAAGGCAGGCCAGGCCUUGGAAGUUGAUCACUUUUAGCUGUGGUGAGAGUAGCAGUAGUCUGCUUCAAAGUUGGUCUAGCCACAAGAAUGCCCCCAUCGCAAAUGUUCUUUUCUCUUCAAGGCUACCUUUAAAACUAAGUCCAUAUUCACUGAGAAGCAUGUCAAGCUUCCACUCCUCCAUCUUCUCAUAGUCUGCCAUUGUGUACCUUGGGUAGUGAAGUGGCACCUGGAACCCGCUUGCGUACACUUCUUUUCUCAUUGCAAUCCCUGUAACCCCACCUUCUUUUACAUCCCUCAAGCUCCUCACACAUCCCUGGACCUGCAGCUGGCCUUGAUUAUUUGGACAUGCUAGCACAUCGCUUCUCUGCAGGGUGUCCGUGUGACCAAAAACUUGAGUAAAUGC
rnacentral:misc_RNA from 1 species